GUUCACUCAGGAAUAUUAGAAUAGUUUUAAUUGGCAAAAGUAACCAUCUUAACACGUUCACUUAUAUCACUAACCGACUAAAUGAUCAUGUCAAAAUCCCAGGAAUGACAAAAACAUCCCAUAACAAAAGCGGUGUGAGCUGUAGCACUGUUUGUUGUGUGCAGUUAGCCAGCCUGAGCCAGCGCCUGCCUGCUGAGAGUGUGAUUAUGGGUGGCCUGCCUGGUCCAGGCCGGCCUGCCUGUUUGUGAGGGCUGUCUUGGACAGUAAUGGUUCACUGCUUCUAUUGGAUUAUGAGAGGGAUUUUAAACUGGUACUAAGCCGCAGGGCUGUAGACAGCCUGCGGAGCGCAGGAGCUGUGUGUUUGGGCAUGUGUAUAUAGUGGUGUGUGUUUGUGGGUGUGUGUGUGCAUGUGUGUGUCCUGGAGUCCCCAGCAGUCAGCUUGUCUCUACUGUUUUCCAUUGUCUGUGGCCAGAGGUGGAGAGAGGCACAGCAUCUGAAAUAUGAACCUAUUCUGCUUCUCUCUGGAGGGCUCGACGGACAGCCUGUAUGAGCCUGCUCUCAACAAACACCCAGUCAUCCAAGAACACAGUUGUAGAGUUCCCAGUCGACACAACAGCCGACACAGCAGCCCUGCUCUGAGGGACAGGGCUAAGUGGAGAGGCUCAGAUCCAUGUAUACCCACAGAGCUGUCCGAGGCUCACAAAUCCCAUUUGAAAAAGAAGAAGAGAAGAUCACAUGUACCAACAACGUCAACAUCGGACAAUGAAACCAUAGAUAACACAGACACUAAUGUCUACUGGCAGUCACUCAGAGAGAAGCAAGAUUUUGUUCACAUCAAGAAUAAUCACAAAGAAGAGAUGGGUCAAGGUCCUUGUCAGAGAAGCGUGCUGGUGGUAGAGGACAGAGUGGAGCAGCUGAACUCUGAAAGAAGAGAAAAAGAGCCCACAACUCAGGGGGUGAACUUCGAGGCCUGGAACCCAAACUAUGAGCCUCCUGACAGCCAUCAGCAGAACAUGACUGGGGAUGCAGAGGCUGACAUGGCUGAAUCUAAGGGAAAACUGAAGAGGUUCCAGAGGCUAGUGAAAGUGAAGAAGGGAAGCCAGAUGGGACUAGAUGAUGGAAAGACUGACAGCAAUUGUCACUUGGCAGACUCUGUGUUCAGUAACGACAGUCCCGUCAUCACCUGCAUCGGGCUGGGGAAGAAGACAGAGAAGAAGUCCUCGAAGGCUGACCCACCAUCGCCACAGAAGCAGCAGACUAAGGAGACCAAUGGGAAAGCUGUGGAAGGACCUUGGAGCACUGGGGUUCACGACCACCACUGGGGCCUCACAGAAUUCCCUCCACCCUGGGAUGUCUCCUACCACACCUGUCACCGGCCCCCAGACGAGCCCCGGAACUAUGGCUUUGACUUCACCCUGCCCCGAGCAACAGCUUGGGACCACUUUGAGAGUCUGGUCCAGGAACUGGACAGCAAACAGACGCCGCCAGUGUUCUCACACCAACGGGUCAUCCGCUCGAUCACAGAUCUGGACAUCUCAGAAUCCACGGUAAGAUAA
ensembl:lncRNA